rnacentral:rRNA from 1 species
UUUUGCCUACGGGAGGCAGCAGUGAGGAAUAUUGGUCAAUGGGCGGGAGCCUGAACCAGCCAAGCCGCAUGAAGGAAGAAGGCGCCAGGCGUCGUAAACUUCUUUUGUCGGGGAACAAAGGGCGCCACGCGUGGCGUUGUGAGUGUACCCGAAGAAAAAGCAUCGGCUAACUCCGUGCCAGCAGCCGCGGUAAUACGGAGGAUGCGAGCGUUAUCCGGAUUUAUUGGGUUUAAAGGGUGCGUAGGCGGUCCGGAAAGUCAGCGGUAAAAGCCCGGGGCUCAA